rnacentral:lncRNA from 1 species
AAGGGCAGAAUGGGACUCCAAGCCUGGUGAGAAAUUGAGAGGGCUCGGGAGAAAGGGAUCACGUUGGAGGGAGCACACAUUGGGAGGGUGGGAACACAAGGACAACGUAGCUCCCACUGAAACCCACCUGCUGCCCCUACAGCCUCCUAGGGCUCUUUGCCCUCAUCCUCUCUGGCAAAUGCAGUUACAGCCCGGAGCCCGACCAGCGGAGGACGAAAAUACCUGACCCUAGAGAAUGUGGCUGAUCUGGUGAGGCCAUCCCCACUGACCCUCCACACGGUGCAAAAAUGGCUCUUGGCAGCCGGAGCCCAGAAGUGCCAUUCUGUGAUCACACAGGACUUUCUGACUUGCUGGCUGAGCAUCCGACAAGCAGAGCUGCUGCUCCCUGGGGCUGAGUUUCAUCACUAUGUGGGAGGACCUACGGAAACCCAUGUUGUAAGGUCCCCACAUCCCUACCAGCUUCCACAGGCCUUGGCCCCCCAUGUGGACUUUGUGGGGGGACUGCACCGUUUUCCCCCAACAUCAUCCCUGAGGCAACGUCCUGAGCCGCAGGUGACAGGGACUGUAGGCCUGCAUCUGGGGGUAACCCCCUCUGUGAUCCGUAAGCGAUACAACUUGACCUCACAAGACGUGGGC